rnacentral:rRNA from 1 species
CGGACGGGUGAGUAACGCGUGAGAAUCUGGCUUCAGGUCUGGGACAACCACUGGAAACGGUGGCUAAUACCGGAUGUGCCGAAAGGUGAAAGGUUAACUGCCUGAAGAUGAGCUCGCGUCUGAUUAGCUAGUUGGUAGAGUAAAAGCCUACCAAGGCGACGAUCAGUAGCUGGUCUGAGAGGACAAUCAGCCACACUGGGACUGAGACACGGCCCAGACUCCUACGGGAGGCAGCAGUGGGGAAUUUUCCGCAAUGGGCGAAAGCCUGACGGAGCAAUACCGCGUGAGGGAGGAAGGCUCUUGGGUCGUAAACCUCUUUUCUCAGGGAAGAACACAAUGACGGUACCUGAGGAAUAAGCAUCGGCUAACUCCGUGCCAGCAGCCGCGGUAAUACGGAGGAUGCAAGCGUUAUCCGGAAUGAUUGGGCGUAAAGCGUCCGCAGGUGGCAAUGUAAGUCUGCUGUUAAAGAGUCUAGCUCAACUAGAUAAGAGCAGUGGAAACUACAUAGCUAGAGUACGUUCGGGGCAGAGGGAAUUCCUGGUGUAGCGGUGAAAUGCGUAGAGAUCAGGAAGAACACCAGUGGCGAAGGCGCUCUGCUAGGCCGUAACUGACACUGAGGGACGAAAGCUAGGGGAGCGAAUGGGAUUAGAUACCCCAGUAGUC